rnacentral:rRNA from 1 species
UGGGGAAUAUUGCACAAUGGGCGCAAGCCUGAUGCAGCCAUGCCGCGUGUGUGAAGAAGGCCUUCGGGUUGUAAAGCACUUUCAGCGGGAGGAAGGCGAUAAGGUUAAUAACCUCAUCGAUUGACGUUACCCGCAGAAGAAGCACCGGCUAACUCCGUGCCAGCAGCCGCGGUAAUACGGAGGGUGCAAGCGUUAAUCGGAAUUACUGGGCGUAAAGCGCACGCAGGCGGUUUGUUAAGUCAGAUGUGAAAUCCUCGGGCUCAACCUGGGAGCUGCAUCUGAUACUGGCAAGCUUGAGUCUCGUAGAGGGGGGUAGAAUUCCAGGUGUAGCGGUGAAAUGCGUAGAGGUCUGGAGGAAUACCGGUGGCGAAGGCGGCCCCCUGGACGAAGACUGACGCUCAGGUGCGAAAGCGUGGGGAGCAAACAGG